UACGUAGGCAGCAAGCGUUGUUCGGAGUUACUGGCGUAAAGGGUGUGUAGGCGGUUCUUUAAGUUUGGUGUGAAAUCUCCCGGCUCAACCGGGAGGGUGCGCCGAAUACUGAGGGACUCGAGUGCGGGAGAGGAAAGUGGAAUUCCUGGUGUAGCGGUGAAAUGCGUAGAUAUCAGGAGGAACACCGGUGGUGUAGACGGCUUUCUGGACCGUAACUGACGCUGGAGACACGAAAGCGUGGGUAGCAAACAGG
rnacentral:rRNA from 1 species